AUUGAACGCUGGCGGCAGGCCUAACACCUGCAAGUCGAGCGAGCGGCGGACGGGGGAGUAAUGUAUGGGGACUGCCCGCUAGAGGGGGCUAACUACUGGAAACGGUAGCUAAUACCGCAUCAUAUCGGAUAACCCAUAUGGGAUUAGCUAGUAGGUGAGGUAAUGGCUAACCUAGGCGACGAUCCCUAGCUGGUCUGAGAGGAUGAUCAGCCACACUGGGACUGAGACACGGCCCAGACUCCGACGGAGGCAGCAGUGGGGAAUAUUGCACAAUGGGCGCAAGCCUGAUGCAGCCAUGCCGCGUGUAUGAAGAAGGCCCUAGGGUUGUAAAGUACUUUCAGUCGGGAGGCGUUACCGACAGAAGAAGCACCGGCUAACUCCGUGCCAGCCGCCGCGGUAAUAC
rnacentral:rRNA from 1 species